rnacentral:rRNA from 1 species
CCUACGGGAGCCAGCAGCUAGGAAUAUUUGGACAAUGGGCGAAAGCCUGAUCCAGCAACACCGCGUGGAGGACGAAGGCCUUCGGGUCGUAAACUCCUUUUUGGGGGGAUGAGAACGGACAGUACCACCAGAAUAAGGCCCGGCUAACUACGUGCCAGCAGCCGCGGUAAUACGUAGGGGCCAAGCGUUAUCCGGAUUUACUGGGCGUAAAGCGCAUGUAGGCGGUCUACUAAGUCGGACGUGAAAGCUCCUGGCUCAACUAGGAGAGGUCGUUCGAAACUAGUAGACUAGAGGGUGGUAGAGGAGAGCGGAAUUCCAGGUGUAGCGGUGAAAUGCGUAGAUAUCUGGAGGAACACCAGUGGCGAAAGCGGCUCUCUGGCCCACUCCUGACGCUGAGAUGCGAAAGCCAGGGGAGAGAACGGGAUUAGAAACCCCGGUAUUCCUGGCCGUAAACGAUGUCAACUAGGCGUAGGAGGUUAUUGACCCCUUCUGUGCUGUAGCUAACGCGUUAAGUUGACCGGCUGGGGACUACGGCCGCAAGGCUAAAACUCAAAUGAAUUGACGG